UACGUAGGGCGCAAGCGUUGUCCGGAAUUAUUGGGCGUAAAGAGCUCGUAGGCGGUUUGUCACGUCGGGUGUGAAAGCCCGGGGCUUAACCCCCGGGUCUGCAUUCGAUACGGGCAGACUAGAGUGUGGUAGGGGAGAUCGGAAUUCCUGGUGUAGCGGUGAAAUGCGCAGAUAUCAGGAGGAACACCGGUGGCGAAGGCGGGUCUCUGGGCCGAUACUGACGCUGAGGAGCGAAAGCGUGGGGAGCGAACAGG
rnacentral:rRNA from 1 species